GGCGCCGUGGCGUAGUGGUUAGCGCGCCUGCCUGUAGCCCAGGGCCCCAGAGGUAAUGGGUUCAAGGCUCGUCGCUGCUA
rnacentral:tRNA from 1 species